GUUGUAGCUCAGCUGGGUAGAGCGUCGCUUUUUAAAGCGAAGGUCGUAGGUUCAAAUCCUACCACC
rnacentral:tRNA from 1 species